GCCGGGCGCGGUGGCGGGCGCCUGUAAUCCCACUAUUCGGGAGGCUGAGGCGGGAGAAUUGAUUGAACCCGGGAGGCGGAGGUUGCAGUGAGCCGAGAUUGUGCCACUGCACUCUAUCCUGGGCGACAGAGCAAGACUCCGUCUCAG
rnacentral:SRP_RNA from 1 species